rnacentral:rRNA from 1 species
AACGAACGCUGGCGGCGUGCCUAACACAUGCAAGUCGAGCGCGAAUGGAGCAAUCCUAGUAGAGCGGCGCACGGGUGCGUAACACGUGGGUAAUCUGCCUAGAAGAUGAGGAUAACCAGUCGAAAGACUGGCUAAUACUCGAUAAGCCCACGGGGACUUCGGUCCCUGAGGGAAAAGGUGGCCUCUGUAUACAAGCUAUCACUUCUAGAUGAGCCCGCGGCCCAUCAGCUAGUUGGCGGGGUAAUGGCCCACCAAGGCGACGACGGGUAGCUGGUCUGAGAGGACGAUCAGCCACACUGGAACUGAGACACGGUCCAGACUCCUACGGGAGGCAGCAGUGGGGAAUUUUCCACAAUGGGCGAAAGCCUGAUGGAGCAACGCCGCGUGCAGGAUGAAUGCCUUCGGGUUGU